rnacentral:lncRNA from 1 species
CGUAAAUGCAUUCUAAACUAUCUGGGGUAUCCGUCACCCCAAUCCUGUGACGAUAUAAAAAUACAACGGCUCCUAGAGCUAAAUCAGGUAGUUUAGGCAUAUGUCGAUCAUUAUCGCGUUUUCUCCUAAGUCAUUUCCAAGUCCCACAUGUAUAAACUAUUUAAUUUACUAUUUCAUGCUCCAAAUUCAGAUUUGCAGUUUACCUAAUAAUCCAUGAAUUCGAGCUAACAUAACUAUACAAAAAUCGGACAUUUACACAUGUUGACUACUACGCACUUAGGAGUAAAACCGAUGUAAACCCACCUCAAAGCUAAUCCCUGGCAACGAAGAAGUCACCUAAAUUCAGCCGAGCCCGCUCUCAACCAGCAAUCGUAACUCUCCAAUAAUCUGAACCACAAAAGCAUUAAACAUGUAUUAAUCUUUCAAAAUCAGCACUUAAGCUAAAUCCUUCUAGUACGAUGCAAACCUCACCUUCCGAAUCUCAAUCCUGGUGAUGCGAGGUUCCAAAUCCAGGGUGGGAUGGUGAUGUACAUAGCUCAGGUCCCAAUCCCAAUUCCCUUCAUGAUUUACACCAAAAGAAUCCAAGAAAACUCAAGUUCAGGUUCAGAUUCACAGCAGUGGAGUAAAACAGAGGUUCGACCCAGCUAACCUUCUUCAAAUCCAGCAAUCUUGGGCUCUGUAGUUUCCUCUUGAAGUCCCGAAUCCAGCGAACCAAGUUUCGCCGCGAUCCGAUGCUCCUACGUCGCGUACGAGCCGAAACACUGACGGUCGACGCUGAAAAUCAGUAAAAUCAGCACGCGAGCUCAAAACCGUGCGUUCAAGUUAUCCCAGGAGGAAAGUUAGAUACCCACCUCGACAGCGAAUCUAGCGCCGGUGCGACGUCGAGGACGGCGAAAACACCCACUCGCCCGGCCUCCUCGCGAUGUAAUGGCAGCAACCAUAUCCCCGGACGGCUCCGCGGCGCGACGUCCGCAACGAAAGCUCCAUCCGAGUUCCACCUAUUCGAUCAAUGCUAGAGAAAGAGAGAAGGAGAAGAGUAGCAAAGUAGCUCUCUCUCUCUCUGCUCCUAAACGUAUAAAGCAAGGGGUGGAAUAGGUGAUACAAACAAGGCAAGAUAAAAUUACUAAAAAACCCCUCACCUACUCAAGUGUACUGGUACACGGGCCUCUGUAUUGGUACACAUGCCAACCCGAGAGCAGUCUGCGCGCAACCUACUGAAGUGUACCGGUACACCUUGAUGGCUGUACCGGUACAGCAAGCAGAAAAACUGCUAUUUUGCAGAUUUCUUCGCGGAAAGCUGCCCUCGCGUGGCACGGAGUCCGUUUUGCCUCUAUUUGGCGCCAACGCGACUCAGACUUGUGCCAACACUCUACAGAGCCGUCGACAAGCCUCCACAGCAGAACACCAAGGAUCUCACAUCCUUACCCACUACAAAAAGUUUCGUCCGCGAAACUUAAGCAUACCUCAACUCAGGUCCACAAACAAAUAAGGAUAGGCCUCCCUCAUCAUCGUCUCAGGCUCCCAAGUCGCCUCCCGCUCUUUGUGAUUGCUCCACUGCACUUUCACAUGCGGGACGACCCUGUUGCGCAAUUCUUUCAUCUCUCGAGCAAGAAUCCGCAACGGUCGCUCCUCGUAUCUCAGAUCCCCGCUAAUCUCUAGUGGAGUGAAGUCGAUUACGUGAGUGGGAUCGAAAAUGUAUCUCCUCAAUGCUGAGACGUGGAAAAUAUCGUGGAUGCCAGCAAGUCACGGGGGUAGAGCUAUCCUGUAUGCAACCGGUACAACUCGCUCUAAUACCUCGAAAGGGCCAACAAACCGUGGACUGAACUUUCCACGUACCCCAAAUCAGCGAAUCCCUCUGGACGGCGAGACUUUGAGGAAAACAUGAACUCGGGUCCAAGUGUCCUCCUCUCACCCACAUCACUCCAAAAUAGAGGGGAUCGACAUCUGCAUUCAUACAACGCUUCAAACAGAGCCAUUAGAAUGCUCGUUUGAUAGUUGUUGUCGUACGCAAACUCAACUAGUCUCAUAUGUCGAUACCACACUCUUCCAAAAUCCAGGACGCAUGCCCUCAGCAUGUCCUCUAGAGUCUGUAUGGUCCCCUCUGACUAACCAUCUGUCUGUGGGUGGAACGCCGUGCUGAAAUGCAACUAAGUGCCCAAGGCUGUCUGUAGACUCCUUCAAAACUGAGAUACAAAUCUCGGGUCUCUGUCUGACACAACCGACACUGGCACACCGUGUAGCCUGACGAUCUCAUCCAGGUAUAGCUGUGCGAGUCUCUCUCUCUCGACCAGGUAGUCUGAACCGGUAGAAAGUGAGUAGAUUUGGUCAGUCUGUCCACUAUAACCCAGAUCGCGUCACAACCACUCUAUGCUCUAGGCAACCCCACGACGAAGUCCAUCGUAAUCUACUCCCACUUCCACUCGGGCACUGGCAGACUCUGAAGCUUGCCAGCAGGUACCUGAUGCUCAGCCUUCACCUGUUGGCAAGUCAGACACUGAGCCACAUAUCUGCCAAUGUCUCUCUUCAUUCCAUGCCACCAGAACCGUGCCUUAAGAUCCUUAUAUAUCUUGGUUCCCCCAGGGUGAACCGUAUAAGGAGAACAAUGAGCUUCUCUCAGAAUGUCCGCUCGGAUCUCAGAAUCCACGGGCACACACAGCCGGUCCCUGUACCGUAGUACUCCCGAACUGUCCAAAGCAAAACCCUCAGCCUGCCCCCUGUCUAGCUGCUCUCUAAUCCUCAACAAGUACGGAUCUCCACUCUGUUUCUCUCGGAUCCUAUCCAAUAGAGUGUGCUAUAAAACUAGAGACGUCAGCCUCGCCGUAGACCCAGGGGGUACUAUUUCGAGUCCCAGCCGCUGUAGCUCCUCGAGUAGGGGUCGCUGCUCAGUGAUUGUCAAACUCAGGCUCUGCACUGACUUCCUGCUCAACGCAUCUGNCGGUCCCUGUACCGUAGUACUCCCGAACUGUCCAAAGCAAAACCCUCAGCCUGCCCCCUGUCUAGCUGCUCUCUAAUCCUCAACAAGUACGGAUCUCCACUCUGUUUCUCUCGGAUCCUAUCCAAUAGAGUGUGCUAUAAAACUAGAGACGUCAGCCUCGCCGUAGACCCAGGGGGUACUAUUUCGAGUCCCAGCCGCUGCAGCUCCUCGAGUAGGGGUCGCUGCUCAGUGAUUGUCAAACUCAGGCUCUGCACUGACUUCCUGCUCAACGCAUCUGCAACAACAUUCGCCCUGCCGGGGUGAUACUGAAUACUAAUGUCAUAGUCCUUCAGUAACUCCAACCACCGGCGCUGCCUCAGGUUCAGCUCCCUUUGUGUGAACAGAUACUUGAGACUUUUAUGAUCGGUGAAAACCUCGCAGUGCUCGCCGUACAAGUAAUGCCGCCAGAGCUUCAAAGCAAAAACCACCGCGGCCGGCUCCAAGUCAUGCGUAGGGUAAUUCUUCUCAUAAUCCUUUAACUGCCGUGAAGCAUAAGCAAUUACCCUACCAUGCUGCAUUAGCACACAGCCAAGUCCACUGUGUGAUGCAUCACUAUAGAUCACGAAUCUAUACCCCAUCACCAGAAGGGCAAGGAUAGGAGCCGACGUCAACCUCAGUCUCAACUCGUCAAAGCUCCUCUGACAGUCGUCGCUCUAGACAACACGAAUCCCCUUCCGCGUCAAGCGAGUGAGGGGUGUGGAAUGCUUCGCAAAGCCUUCCACAAACCAACGGUAAUAUCCUGCCAGUCCCAGGAAACUCCGCACCUCCGUCACCGUCGUCGGUCUAGGCCAAUCUCGAAUCGCCUCAAUCUUCUUCGGGUCCACUGCUACUUCCUCAGCUGAAAUCACGUGGCCCAAGAAAGCAACCUUCCGUAACCAGAACUCGCACUUCUUUAAUUUGGCAUACAACUCCUUCUCUCGCAGAAGCUGUAGCACAAUCCUCAAGUGCUCCUCAUGCUCAGCAUCACUCCGGGAGUAAAUCAGAAUGUCGUCGAUGAAGACUACCACAAACCUAUCCAAGAACGGCUUGAACACUCUACUCAUCAAAUCCAUGAAUGCGACAGGGGCAUUCGUCAAUCCAAAAGGCAUCACUGUAAACCCAUAAUGCCUGUACCGAGUCCGAAAAGCCGUCUUAGGAACAUUCUCGGCCCUCACUGUCACGCCCCGGAUUACACUUUCUCCGGGCGCGCCGACAAAUCCGCCCUAUACAAAGGAAUUUCCCCUGUAUACGAAGCGAUAGCUGUACCUGUAAAACAAACACUACUACGAACAGUAGUAGAGAGCUGCUAGAGAAAACAGAAGCUAACAAACUGAGUUUCAUAUACAUAGUCCAGAUCCAAAAUACAAAGCUACUCGCACUGGCGAGUUAAGUCCACUAUGUACAUAAACUCGAAACAAAACAUCUACCUGCAGUAGGGGCACCUCUAGCUCAGCACGUCGGGUAGGGCUCUAACUUGCGACGCCCUUGCCUCGAUCCUGAUCCGCGGAAGGCGCAGCAGCCGAAACCUGUGGCUCUGCAAAACAGGGGGUAACAACUGGGCGUGAGAACUACUGUAAAAACAAGUAGUCCUCAGUGGGUACUGCCCAAAAUAAUAUCGGUCCACCCACUAAGCCUACAGAAGGGAACAGGAAUAGUAGUAAAAUGCAGGAAUAAAGUCUACCGCUAUCAAACACUACACUAUCAUGCUCUACACUAACCAACUGUAGAAAAUAUCCAACCUGACCCAAUCCAAUCGGGACUGUAAGCAUACCCGUCCCCGGGACUGUGAAUACACCCGUCCCUGCCCCGUUGCGACUAUCAAGCUCUAUCCACACUAACUGGUCCGUGGAGAGCAAGUCCAACUGGCAUGAGCGACACCAACGCGAAAGCACAAAGCCCAACUCCGGAGUGGCACUCGUGGGCGCUACCCAACCGAGUAUGCAGCGUAUCUCUGUCGAACUCAAUCAGGCUACAACUAGCCAAACUCAAGUGAACAGGGUCAAAACAGGUCUACAAACCAAACCCACGUGCCCUCGGCACAAUCUGUGACCAAAACAAGAAUCUGGGUCCACCGUUAUCCCGAACGGCACCCAACGACCCGAAACAGCCUAUACUCUGCUGAAAAAUAAGCUCGGCACCCCAGCACGAGCGUAAAUGCCUUCUAAACUACCCCAGAUAUCCAUCGCACUAAUACUGCAACGAUACAAUCGAAUCACGGCUACUAGAGCUAAAUCUGGUAGUUUAAGCAUAUGACGGGUCAAAAUGCAGGUUUUCUCCUAAGUCAAAUUUCAAGUCCAACAUGUAUAAUUUAAAUAUUCAUUUCAGCAUGCUUCUACAUUCAUAUUACAUUCAAGAUGCUAAUCGAUGAAUUAAAGCAUGAUAUACAAAAAUCGAACUAUACACGUCGACUAAACAUGCACUUAGGAGCGAAACCGAUGAUACACCCAUCUCGAGAGCAAAUUCCUGGCAGCACGGAACUCCCUCGGCUGCGGCACAACCUGCUGGAUCGACUGGAAAUGUCCGAGUCUCAAAAUUAAGCUAUCUCCAAGCUAUCAACAUCAAAAUCCACAAUUCAGUCCAAAUACACAGCAGCAGAGAAGAGAAGGGUUUCGACCAAGCUAACCUUCACCAAAAUCCACAAGUAAGGACUUCGUGGAUUUCUCUCGCAGUCCCGAAACCAACGAAUCAAGUCUUGUCGAAAUCCGAUGAUCCUACGUCGAGUACGAGCUGAAAUACUAACAGUCGACGAUGAAGUUCAGCAAAACAACACUUAAGCUUAAAUAUCCCAAUUCCAAUGUCAAAACUCACCUAAUGAACUCCAAAUCAGGUGAAGAGGGUCCCAAUUCCAGUACUGGGUGAUAGGGAAGGUGACUCAACUCCACAAAGCCCCUGCUUCCAAAGUUCACCCCAAAAAGAACACAAAAACUUACAAUUCUGUCCACAGCAACAACAGCAGAGGAAAACCUGAGUUCGACUAAGCUAACCUCAACUAAAAUCUGCAAUUUAGGGCUUCGUGGAUUCCUCUGGAAGUCAAGAAUCCAGAAAACCAAGUUUCGUCAAAAUCCGACCUUCCUACGUCGCGCACGAGCCAAAACACUGGAGGUCGUCGCUGAAGAACUGCAGAAUCAGCACUCCAUUAAGCUGGAUCAUGGAAGUUUGAUGCAAUUUGAGGCAAAUCCGAGGGUAGAGAUGCUAAAAGAGGCUUCUCUGUGAAGAAGGGAGGAAAAGAGCUCCCCAGGGACACUUCUCAGCUAUUUAUAGGGUGAAAAUAGGAUCAGAUGGACCUCAAGAACAAAGCUUGCAAUCUGCUGUCCCCGCAGAAACAGGCGUUUCUGGGCGCCCGGAACCAUGUUCUGGGCGACCAGAACAUCCCGACUGCACAAACCGGGCUCCUCGGACUCUCCGCUCGCGGUGUGCUGCGCCCGUAAAUGGCUCCGGCGGAACUCACCUACCGCCCUGCCACGCGUCGAAGCAAGCGAUAUUCACGAUGUCGAAUUUCCGGACCCACAUCUGGGCGCCCGGAACAUGGGAUCCGAAUUGGCUUCCAGUUUUAGUUAAAUUCAACACUCGUUUCUGGGCGACCCUAACAAUGUUCUGGGCGCCCGAAUCUGGCAAAACUCCAGUUUUGCUUAUUUGAGUGCGCCGAGUCCAAUUCUGCAUCCAAUUCGUGCAGAAUUGCCUCCGACUCAGUCCGACACUCUCCAGAGAUGUCGACCAGUCUAUAAUACUGAAGCCAAUCCUAUCCAAAGCUCAGGAACACUACACUCACCUUUAGCUGGUGGUAACCUGACUGGAGAUUAAUCUUUGAAAAGACACAAGAUCCUUGCAGCUGAUCAAACAGAUCAUCAAUGCGCGGCAAGGGAUACUUAUUCUUGAUGGUCACUUUAUUCAGCUCCCUAUAAUCCACACACAGUCUAAGUGACCCAUCCUUCUUCUUCACAAACAACACUGGCGCUCCCCAAGGCGACACACUGGAUCUCACAAACCCUCUACCCAUCAAAUCUUGAAGCUGUGCCUUUAGCUCUCUCAGCUCUGCCGGCGCCAUCCGAUAAGGUACCUUCGAGAUUGGUGCAGUUUCAGGAACUACAUCAAUCACAAACUCAAUCUCCCUCUCCGGCGGCAACGACAUCAACUCAGGGGGGAAAUACAUCCGGAAACUCGCAGACUACAGGGAUAUCCUCGAGUUCCGGCGCCGCCGUAGGUACCUCCACAACUGUCGUUAGGAAAGCGAUACACCCACUACUCAGCAUCUGUCGAGCCCUCGCUGAAGAUAUCCAUGUAGCAACCAACGUGCUCCUGCAGCCUCUAAAGUGAACUCCUCCCGGCCUGGCUUGCGGAACGUCAUCGUCCUCACUUCACAGUCGAUAGUAGCCUAGUACCGCGUCCGUCAAUCCAUACCGAGUACGACGUCGAAGUCCUGCAGCUGCCCUAACACCAACAGGUCUACGGCAAAAUCCAAGAAUCUAGCUACACCGGACAAGACCAACCACACUCCGCAACCUAUAACACAUAGUCGGGGAUCUGCACCUCUCGUGCCAAAAAUAAUGACCCUAACUCUAGACCAUGCAACAAUGCAAAUGCUCGGCUCACAAAAGAAUGGGAGGCAUCAGUAUCAACUAAAGUAUAAGUACAUAUGCCGAAAAUUAAAAUAAUACCUGCCACCAUACGGUCGGCUGCUGAAGAGUCCUCCUGGCGGUAGCUCGGUGGUGCUCCAAAAGCCUGCUGGUCAGCUGGCUGCGCUGAUGCCAUGGAUAGUGCUGGUAAUGUCGCUCUAGGACACGCUGACCUCACAUGUCCUAGCUGUCCACAAGUGUAGCAGCGGCCCUCUUUCUGCUCACACUGUCUGGGCCAGUGUGGUCCCCCACAAAUCACGCACCACAGUGUCCUCGGUGACGGUCCUUGCUGAAGCGAUCUCCUGGAAUGCUGACGCCCUGAUGAACCACGACCCUGAGAGCCAGAUCGAGAAAACCUCAGCAGACGUCUGCUACUUGUCUGUCCUCCAUCAUUUGGAAAAGGGCGCUUCCUAUCCUGGCUUUGCCCUGGUGCCGUAAUCCGCUCCUGGACGGUGUAACUCCGUGUCCCACCCAGAGUGCCUGCUGCACAGAUGCUCCUGUCUCAACGCCCGACCGCUGAGUGAUAAUCUCAUAAAUCCUCUACAACAAUACACUCUGCUGCUUGAUCACCUCUGUCAGGGCAGCCAAUUGCUCUCUCAAAUCAGGGGGUGCACUCGCCUCCGGUCGUGCACUCGGCUCUGCUUGGUUAGGCAUCUCUAGUGUUGCGACUCGAUCCCUGGUCGACGGUCAACCUCGGCAGCGAUCUGAAAGAAAAAGAACGGGGUCAGAUACCACUCAAACACUCUCGACCCAAUCAACGAAAGUCUGGAAAGCAGCCCAUAUUUUCCUCUAAAAUUAUGUUGUCUGUAGCCAACAUAAUUUCUCAGGCCAAAACAGGUACUCUUUCAAUCACUCACUCCACUCUCGGAGGAGUUAAAACAACUAAUCAUUGACUUUCGCAAUUAAAUUACGCCUCUCGCGUCUUACUUUCCUAAGGUUUGCCAAACUUAGGUUUUCUAGGUCCCAACGACCUAAUGCUAAUCUCUAAUACCAACUUAAUCUGUCACGCCCCGGAUGUCUCGUUUUCCGGGAACGCCGACAAAUCCGCCGUAUACAAAAAUUUUUUUUCUGUAUACGAAGCGACAGCUGUACCUGUAAAUAUACAAUACUACAAACAGUAGUAUAGAGCUGCUCAAGGAAACAGAACCAAAACAAACUGAGUUUCAUAUACAUAGCUCAAAAACCAAAAUGCUGAGUUACUCGCACUAGCGAGUUAAGUAUACUAUGUACAUAAACUUAAAAUAAAACAACUACCUGCAGUAGGGUGCCUCUAGCUCUGUUCGUCGGGUAGGGCUCUAACUCGCGACGCCCUUGCCUCGAUCCUGAUCUGCGGAAGGCGCAGCAGCCGAAACCUGUGGCUCUGCAAAACAGGGGUAACAACUGGGCGUGAGAACUACUGUAAAAACAAGUAGUCCUCAGUGGGUGCCGCCCAAAACAAUAUCGGUCCACCCACUAAGUCUACAGUAGGGAGCAAAGGUAAUAGGAAAAGCUGGAAAGAAAUCUACAGCUACAUAUCGCUACACUAGCAUGAUCUACACUAACCAACUGUAGUAAAAGUCACAACUGCCCCAAUCUCACUAGGGACUGUGAACACACCCGUCCCGCCUGUCGGAUCGAAUCCGUAACCUACUCCAAGAGUAGCUGGUGGAGAAAACUCUCUAGGGACUGUGAAUACACCCAUCCCGUCUAAUUAGGCGACACCGUAGCUCAAGAGUAACCGGCGGAGAAAACUCUCUAAAGACUGUGAAUACACCCGUCUCGUCUACUAGACUACACUGUAUCUCAAGAGUAACCGGCGGAGAAAACUCUCUAAAGACUGUGAAUACACCCGUCUCGCCUAAUUAGACUACAUCGUAUCUCGAGAGUAGUCGGUUCCAGAAAGGGUCCAACCGGACGGCUAAGACUCCACUCACGCCACAACCUUACUAAAGGUAGGGAAAAGAGUCACUUACUACCUCACCCGGGCUGCCCAAAACGGACCCACCCUGCCUGUAUCUAGCCGCGCCGUACACGACCGCGAGGGUAGCCGGCUCAAGAACUGUCCAACAUAAAUUGCGACACUCAUCGCACUGAAACCUCAUUCCGGAAUGGCAUUCGUGCGUGCGACCCAACGAGUUUACAAGUAUCUCUGUCAAGUUCAUACUGCUCUCACAAGCUAAGGUCAAGUAACCGACUCUAACUGGUCUAACAACCAACAUGCCACGUGCCCUCGACACAAUCCGACGCCAAAACGGCGAUAUGGGUCCACCGUCAACCCCGACGGCACCCAACAGUCCGGAACAGCCUGAACGCUACUGAAAAAAAAUCACUCGGUAUCCUAGCACGAGCGUAAAUGCAUUCUAAACUAUCUGGGGUAUCCGUCACCCCAAUCCUGUGACGAUAUAAAAAUACAACGGCUCCUAGAGCUAAAUCAGAUAGUUUAGGCAUAUGUCGAUCAUUAUCGCGUUUUCUCCUAAGUCAUUUCCAAGUCCCACAUGUAUAAACUAUUUAAUUUACUAUUUCAUGCUCCAAAUUCAGAUUUGCAGUUUACCUAAUAAUCCAUGAAUUCGAGCUAGCAUAACUAUACAAAAAUCGGACAUUUACACAUGUUGACUACUACGCACUUAGGAGUAAAACCGAUGUAAACCCACCUCAAAUGCUAAUCCCUGGCAACGAAGAAGUCACCUAAAUUCAGUCGAGCCCACUCUCAACCAGCAAUCGUAACUCUCCAAUAAUCUGAACCACAAAAGCAUUAAACAUGUAUUAAUCUUUCAAAAUCAACACUUAAGCUAAAUCCUUCUAGUAUGAUGCGAACCUCACCUUCCGAAUCUCAAUCCUGCUGAUGCGAGGUUCCAAAUCCAGGGUGGGAUGGUGAUGAACACAGCUCAGGUCCCAAUCCCAGUUCCCUUCAUGAUUUACACCAAAAGAAUCCAAGAAAACUCAAGUUCAGGUUCAGAUUCGCAACAGUGGAGUAAAACAGAGGUUCGACCCAGCUAACCUUCUCCAAAUUCAGUAAUCUUGGGCUCUGUAGUUUCUUCUCGAAGUCCCGAAUCCAGCGAACCAAGUUUCGCCGCGAUCCGAUGCCCCUACGUCGCGUACGAGCCGAAACACUGACGGUCGACGCUGAAAAUCAGUAAAAUCAUCACGCGAGCUCAAAACCGUGCGUUCAAGUAAUCUGUAACGACCCAGCCCACUAGCAAUAAUAACUCGUUGGGCCCAACCACCGGCCCAAAAUGCUUAAGCCCAGUUAUUAUUACUAGUGUCUAAGUUUCUUAUAAACCCAAUGACAACCCCAUUCCCAUCCGAUGUGGGACUAUUGGGGUGUCACAUAAUCCCAGGAGGAAAGUUAGAUACCCACAUCGACAGCGAAUCCAGUGCCGGUGCGACAUCGAGGACGGCGAAAACACCCUCUCGCCCGGCCUCCUCGCGAUGUAACGGCAGCAACCGUAUCCCCGGAUGGCUUCGC